AGAGCAUCAAUGAUGUAACAUCCAAAUUUACUCAACCGUGCACUUUGAGCUGCGCGGUGAAGAAAUCAUUGGGGGAAUGUUGUCUGAGAUGCUC
rnacentral:snoRNA from 1 species